UACGGAGGGUGCAAGCGUUGUUCGGAAUCACUGGGCGUAAAGGGCGCGCAGGCGGUUUGAUUAGUCAGAUGUGAAAGCCCACGGCUUAACCGUGGAAGUGCAUUUGAAACUGUCAGGCUUGAGUACCAGAGGGGAAAGUGGAAUUCCCGGUGUAGAGGUGAAAUUCGUAGAUAUCGGGAGGAAUACCGGUGGCGAAGGCGACUUUCUGGCUGGAUACUGACGCUGAGGCGCGAAAGCGUGGGGAGCAAACAGG
rnacentral:rRNA from 1 species